GGAGAGGUAGCAUAGUCCGGCCUAAUGCGCGCGCCUGGAGAGCGCGUGUACUCUUUGAGUACCGUGGGUUCGAAUCCCACCCUCUCCG
rnacentral:tRNA from 1 species